rnacentral:rRNA from 1 species
CAGUAGCCGCGGGAAUACGAAGGUCCCGAGCGUUGUUCGGAAUCACUGGGCGUAAAGGGAGCGUAGGCGGCGUGGUAAGUCAGAUGUGAAAUCCCGGGGCUCAACCCCGGAACUGCAUCCGAUACUGCCAUGCUAGAGGAUUGGAGAGGUAGCUGGAAUUCUUGGUGUAGCAGUGAAAUGCGUGGAGAUCAAGAGGAACACUCGUGGCGAAGGCGACUAUCUGGGCCAACACUGACAUUGAGGCACGAAAGCGUGGGGAGCAAACAGGAUUAGAUACCCGUGUAGUCCCUGUCUCUUAUAC